rnacentral:rRNA from 1 species
GACGGGGGGGGCAAGUGUUCUUCGGAAUGACUGGGCGUAAAGGGCACGUAGGCGGUGAAUCGGGUUGAAAGUGAAAGUCGCCAAAAAAGUGGCGGAAUGCUCUCGAAACCAAUUCACUUGAGUGAGACAGAGGAGAGUGGAAUUUCGUGUGUAGGGGUGAAAUCCGUAGAUCUACGAAGGAACGCCAAAAGCGAAGGCAGCUCUCUGGGUCCCUACCGACGCUGGGUGCGAAAGCAUGGGGAGCGAACAGGGAUUAGAACCGUACGUAGUCAGAUCCAAG